rnacentral:rRNA from 1 species
CAUGCAAGUAGAACGCUGAAGGAGGAGCUUGCUUCUCUGGAUGAGUUGCGAACGGGUGAGUAACGCGUAGGUAACCUGCCUGGUAGCGGGGGAUAACUAUUGGAAACGAUAGCUAAUACCGCAUAAAAUUGAUUAUUGCAUGAUAGUCAAUUAAAAGGUGCAAUUGCAUCACUACCGGAUGGACCUGCGUUGUAUUAGCUAGUUGGUGAGGUAACGGCUCACCAAGGCAACGAUACAUAGCCGACCUGAGAGGGUGAUCGGCCACACUGGGACUGAGACACGGCCCAGACUCCUACGGGAGGCAGCAGUAGGGAAUCUUCGGCAAUGGACGGAAGUCUGACCGAGCAACGCCGCGUGAGUGAAGAAGGUUUUCGGAUCGUAAAGCUCUGUUGUAAGAGAAGAACGAGUGUGAGAGUGGAAAGUUCACACUGUGACGGUAUCUUACCAGAAAGGGACGGCUAACUACGUGCCAG